GCGCAGGUGAAACAUGCCGCGCUACUAUUAUUUCGUCGCUGGCUGCGCUGUAACUACAACCGUGUAUUUAUAAAAUGCCAAUGCGUCCUGUCGCCUCAAUCUCUCCCUCCCCCACAUCUUAUCCCUAUCUGGCCUCUGCAUCCUCAUCCUCCUCCACCACUGGAUCCGGCCACAGCCAAGGUUUCCUCUCACCCACCUUAGAGCGGCGAGGUAUGCUACUUCUCCACCCGUCGGCGAGGUGCGGGCGCCGGCCGCUGGCCGACGUGGGGGUCGUGUCGUUCCUUGUGCAGCAGCUCACGGUGACCUACACGUCCGCCAACGGCGAGGACGCGGCUGACACGCUACUCAGCAUCUCCCUCCCCGCAGCUCAUGUCAUCCCCCGUCCCGGUUGUCUCCCAUCCGGCCAGCAACAAUCUCGUCCUACCUAGCUUGGAUCCGUGGAUGGCGAGUGGAUCUGGCAACUUGGAUGCUGGUGGCUGCGGCUCAUCUCCAACCCAAUGCACCGUGUACUAGUUAAUGCAAGUGAUCAAUUGAUGUUUGGAGCGUAUACAUCUCAAAAGCAAACAUUUGUGUUGUCUGUCCAGUUAAUUAAGAUGCUGAUUGAAUUGUGUACAUCUCAAAAGCAUAAAUUGGAAUUUGUGGAUUUAAAAAAAAAUCCUAAUUAGUUAGUAGUAGCGCGGGGCAGCAUCCUGCGCUGCUGCUAUUAGCAGUAGCGCGUGUGCAUCCCACGCUACUACUAUCACAACUAGCAUGGGAUCACAACUAGCUGUAGUGCAGGGUAAAAAACGCGCUACUGCUAAAAUUUAGCUGUAGCGUCGUAGCAUUAGCGCGGGCACCAGUGCUACUGAUAGCCAAAAAACCCCACGCUACUAAUAGCCUUUUUCCUAGUAGUGCAUCUUUUUCUUGUUUGUCUUCUUCUUGUUCAUGGUACACCGUAGAUCUGAAGAGAUUAGGUUCAUUUUUUGUGUGGAUCAAGCGAAGAUUAAUAGCAUAGUUAUUUUUUCAUGUCAUUAUUGUUUAAGCAGUCAAUAGAUUGGAGGUGUUUUUUCUGUGGUUCAUGCAGAUGUAAGGUUUGGGGUAGUUUUUGUAGUGCAUCAAGAGCGGCCAGAGUGAGCGGGUGCUUUUGUUUUUUUGUUAGGUGAUGCAGAUGUAACACCAAGUAAACUGCACUCUUUAGUGUUUAAUUUCAGUUAGUUUAGUUAUUUUGCUUCUUAGUCUGAAAUUCAUGUCUGCUACACUGUAGGAGUUCGUCACUGUGCCCCUGUAUCCAUUAGAGUAGAUGGGAUUUUGUAUGUCCAUAUCCCCCCCCCCCCCCCCCCCCCCCCGCCCCCGCCUGUUCUUUUUUUGUUUUGUAUCAAAUAUGUGAUUAGUAGUUUCAAGCAGAGAAUCACCCCCAUAGUUUAGACCUUAUUUUCUUAGGUUUGAUUCUUUUGUGCGUUGAUGCACAAUAGUCUCUCGCUCUCGCGUGUCUAUCGGCAAUGUCGGUGUGGUGGAUUUUUUAAUGAUGAAACUGGAUUCUUUGCUUGUAGCUAGAUUCACUUACCUCGAUAAAUAAAGCCCCGUUUUUAUGUGUCACCUUUUUUGUCAUUCAGAUUUUUUGCUGCGUUUUUUGAGGUUCUUUCCAGUAAAGAUUAUUUUACAACCAGUAGCACUAAAUUUCUUAGUAGGCCAAGAGACUGAGAUGAAGUGUGUUUCUCCGCUGGAUUGUACUGGAAGUCGUUUUUUAUCAACAUGUUUUUUUAUGCUUGUAGGUACAUAUAGAGAAAUUUUUACACCGCUCUGUACAUCCUCUGUACAGAGAGUAUAGUGCACUUUUUUUACACCCUCUGUUCAUGAGUAGGUGACAAGAGAGAUGUGUGUUUAGGAUUUUUUGCUAUGUUGAACAUUCUUUUUUAUUUUUUAGUAUAUAAACCUCUGCUAGUUAUCCUUUUUUUGGACACUUUUUCUUCUUCUUUUUUAUCGGGUGAGUGCUAUCACUUAUACUGUUCUUAACUGGGAUAUUUUUGGUGUCUCAAGAAGUGCUUCUCUCAUAUCCCCUCAUACACAUUACUGUAACCAUUAGUGGGAGUGAUUCAAUCCCUUGUUUUGUUUUAUUCUAGUCGAGAGUAGUAGGUCGAAGAAUAUGAUUUUGCUGAAACAUUACUUUCGUGAAAUCAGUUCCAUGUUUUUUGAGGAUUAUCUCCGAACUCAAAUCCCCUCAUAUGUAUUACUGGGCCAUCACUAGGAGUUGUAUAGUCCUUUUGUUUGUUUUACUUAGGUUUUUCGCUGAAAUCUUUUCUCUCGAAACAAGAGAGGUUUUUUAUUACUGGAUGUAUUAGCAGUAGUGUGGUAUGUUUAUUUUAUUUCUCAUAAUCCCUAUCUAAUCUGCAGCAUGUUUAAUCUGAAAUCUUUUUUUUGUAAACAGGAGAUAUUACUGCUGAAAUUUAUCACUAGGGAGUGGGUUGUUUAUUUUUUAUUUUAUUUUGCUUCGACUCCUUUUUAAUUCAGAAGCAUGUUCAAAUCUAUCAUUUUUUUGCGUAUUCAAAAAGAGAAUGAUUUAAUGAAAGUAAGUUUCUAGCAGCAGCAUGUUUUCUUUAGUUUUCUUUUUUUUCGCCCUAAAAACCAUAUGAAAUUAGUGUGAUGUUCAUUUUUAUUUUGUAUAUGAAUUAAUCUGGUCUUUUGAUAUACUCCCUCCGUCCUUUAAAGAGUGUACUUCCAACUUUGUUGGAGGGUCAAACUAUCUCAAACUUUGACCGAGUUUAUGCAAAAAUAUAUCAAUGUUUGUGAAACCAAAUGGGCAUACGAUGAAAAUAUAUUUUAUCAUGAAUCUAAAUCUACUCAUUUGAUGGCAUAAAUGUUGGUGUACUAUUGUAUAAAUACGGUCAAACAUAAAACAGUUUGACUUUCCAACAAAGUUGGAAGUACACUCUUUAAAGGGCGGAGGGAGUAUUCAUCAUCUUUUUUAUCUCCACAUCGCAAAUGUAUGUAUGCUUCUUUUUUUCAUCAGCGGCGACGCUAAUGAUAUAUAUCAUUAUCUCGAAAUCCUUUUUCUUCGGAAGCAUACAAGUUUAUUUUGCACUAAAAAUCAUUUAGCUGAAUAUGUAUGCAUAUCAGUAGCACAUAUUUAUGUUUUUGGCCUUUUUUUAUGUGCACAGGAGAUGGUUUGCAGAGUUUGUCUGAGCCCUUGCUACCGUGAGAGCAACAAGCGGCAUCAGCAUGUAUGUCUGGAAGGAGUUCAAAAAUACAGGGGUUGUGCCAUGCAACGUGAAAGAGUUCAUUUCAACGACCUGACAGGAGAUAGGCUGAAGUUUAAGGCAAACAAAUGGACAUACACCGUCAAGUGCCACAAGGGGCCCAGAGAGGGUGCAAUGUAUGGGACUGGUUGGAGGAAGUUCAUUUCAGACAACAAGUUGGGGAAGCUCUUCUACUUGGACUGGCCUUCCUCAAGGGCAGCUGUAUGUGUGAUUUAAUUCGGGAAUGGCACCGAAGAAUGAAGGAUUCGAGGAUGAGACCCAACGUACCCUUCUUUUUAUGCUAUGUUGAACUCUCUAACUCGUAUGUCAAGAUCCGUCGUUGUGUGUUUAUGUUUAAUGCAACUAAGUUUGUUAUGCUUUUUCGUGGGAAAACUAUGAGUAUGUUCUAUCCAUGUUUGAAAUAUUUUCUUUAUUUUUUUCCUCCCCCCAAUGAUGAAGCAUCUUUUUCAUUCUUUCCUGAUGUGCAUUUAUUGUGUUUUGUAGUUUCAUUAGUUUUUCAAAAUGCCUCCACGAACGAGAGAAACAAUUCUGAGAUCAUGUUCUGAAACGAAAAUAACAAUUGCAUAUGUGUGUUGUUCAUUUAUUUGGAGGAUUUUUUAAAGAAAUGUUGGACAAUCAUUUAGAUUAGUUUUUUUUAAAAGGAGCAUAUUAAAGGAGCGGCGUCGAGAGAGAGGGGGCCAGUUGCAUGCCCCACACUAGGCACGCAACUACAUGUCUUCUAAAUUGGUCGCAACUACAUGUCUUAUAACUUGGCUGCAGCUCGACUCCAUUUUUUGUUGUACGGGGACAAGUGUCAGUUGCAUGUCCCACAACCAGAGGGGGUGGCGUCGAGAGAGAGGGGGCAAGUUAAAUGUCCCAACACUAGGCAUGCAACUGCAUGUCUUCUAACUUGGUUACAACUGGGAACCUUUGUUUUGUCGGAGGGAGCGGCGUUGAGAGAGAGGGGCCCAGCCGCAUGCUAAACUGUACGCACGCAACUGUAGGUCCUUUUCCAGCAUGGGCGCAAUUGCAUGUGUUAUAACUUGGUCCCAACUCGACCUUUUCAUUUUUUGUUGUACGGGGUGAGGGGUAGUUGCAUGUCCCAAACCAGGACAGGCAACCACAUGCUUUCUAACUUGAUCGUAACCGGGUGACCUUUGUUUUUGUAGGAGGGGGCAGCGUCGAGAGAGAUGGGGCCAGUUGCAUGUCCCAUACUAGGUACGCAACUGCAUGUCUUCUACAAUGGUUGCAACUUGGGGGACCUUUGUAUUGUCAGAGGUGGUGGUGUCG